GAUCCUGGCUUAGGAUGAACGCUGGCGGCGUGCCUAACACAUGCAAGUCGAGCGAUCUUCUUCGGGAGAGAGCGGCGGACGGGUGAGUAACGCGUGGGUAACCUGCCCUGUACACACGGAUAACAUACCGAAAGGUAUGCUAAUACGGGAUAACAUACUUUUAUCGCAUGGUAGAAGUAUCAAAGCUCCGGCGGUACAGGAUGGACCCGCGUCUGAUUAGCUAGUUGGUAAGGUAACGGCUUACCAAGGCGACGAUCAGUAGCCGACCUGAGAGGGUGAUCGGCCACAUUGGAACUGAGACACGGCCCAAACUCCUACGGGAGGCAGCAGUGGGGAAUAUUGCACAAUGGGCGAAAGCCUGAUGCCAGCAACGCCGCGUGAGCGAUGAAGGCCUUCGGGUCGUAAAGCUCUGUCCUCAAGGAAGAUAAUGACGGUACUUGAGGAGGAAGCCCCGGCUAACUACGUGCCAGCCGCGGC
rnacentral:rRNA from 1 species